rnacentral:rRNA from 1 species
GACGAACGCUGGCGGCGUGCCUAAUACAUGCAAGUCGAGCGAAUCAAAGGGAGCUUGCUCCCUGAGGUUAGCGGCGGACGGGUGAGUAACACGUGGGCAACCUGCCUAUAAGACUGGGAUAACUUCGGGAAACCGGAGCUAAUACCGGAUAAUUCAUAUCUACUCAUGUAGAUAUGCUGAAAGACGGUUUACGCUGUCACUUAUAGAUGGGCCCGCGGCGCAUUAGCUAGUUGGUGAGGUAACGGCUCACCAAGGCGACGAUGCGUAGCCGACCUGGGAGGGGGAUCGGCCACACUGGGACUGAGACACGGCCCAGACUCCUACGGGAGGCAGCAGUAGGGAAUCUUCCGCAAUGGACGAAAGUCUGACGGAGCAACGCCGCGUGAGUGAUGAAGGUUUUCGGAUCGUAAAACUCUGUUGUUAGGGAAGAACAAGUACUAGAGUAACUGCUAGUACCUUGACGGUACCUAACCAGAAAGCCACGGCUAACUACGUGCCAGCAGCCGCCGCAGUAA